GCCAGUGUGGCACAGCGGUUUGGGUGUUGGACUAGGACUCUGGAAGCCAGGGUUCAAUUCCCCACUUGGCCA
rnacentral:tRNA from 1 species